CGGUAAAAUACGUAUUGGUUCAAAACGGGACGCGCUAUUUUCUCAAAUACCGGACGAUUCCGUAUUUUAAGGGACGGGUGGCAACCCUUUUAGUUUAGACUUGAUCUACUUCGUGAAAGUGUUGUGACGUAGCUCCAAUAGUAUGUGAAUCUGUUAUGAACUGCUCAAGAUCAGAGUAUUUGUUAUCGUAUUUACUGAGUUGAGGAGGUCAGUGAAGCACUCACGGUUCAUCCUGUCAAUCAUCCUGGCUCCCGCUGUGGUUGGCAGAGAGCGGGAGGUGGGACGGUACGAUGUGAUCGUGAUAGAUGUGUGCGUCACACUUUGUGAGACAUGCGAGUGAUCGUUUAGCAGCAUUAUUGUCAGCAGACUGUCAGCAAAUAAAAGUGUAAAAGCAAGUUGGCGUCUCGUCGCUUUCCGCAUUGAGAGUCGUUACAGUAGAUUGAAAGUAUAUUUUCAUUGCGCAGUUUGUUGAAGCAGUGGAGAAAUCCCUCUUUUCUGCUCCUCUCCAGCUCCUCUCCAGCGCGAUACUUUUUCAGCUAAGUUAAAGCUAUAUUUACAUUUUUAUAUAUAUAUAUAUAUAUAUUUUUUUUUUUUGCUGAUUGCCAAUUUGUCGCUCUGAAGGAUACAGGUAAGCCAGCAUCGUUUGCAGUGAAAGCAGAUGAAUACGUCCAAGCAGAAUUAAACUUUUUGGAUUUUUCCACUGAUGACUGCAGAGGAAUGCAAAUCAUAGUCCGCCACCUGCUGGGAAGGUUGUUACAGACAGCGGACACAUUGAUGUUUCCUACACCGGAUAUGUUAAAACAUUUAAAUCAUAUGAGUUAAGGAUAUUACUGUCGGUUAAUUUGCUUAUGUAUUUUUUAACGAAAUGAAUGUAAUCGAUGCCUACUACUUAUUUUUUAAAUUUUUAAUCGGCUAAUCGAUGGGCCCAGCUUGAGGGCUGCCAGGUCUUCAUGUCUGAUCGUUCCUUCACUUAAUCAAAAACACGUGAUUAAGGGACCUUAUAACCUUCAGCAAAAUACUGUUGUUUGUUUUUCCAUACUUUAACCGAGAGAACAAAACUCUUGCAGAGCAUUAGAAUGUAUAUUAAAUGUCUGUAUACAAAAAUCUGCUCCAUUUUUAAAAAUUUACUUUACAAAUAGACUGGUUGGAUACUGAGGAUUCUUUGAAAAUAAGGACAAUUACUUCAUUUUAAAUCAUCGGAAUGGAAAAUUGUAUUAUUUACUCGUAGUUGUUAUAUUUAAAAAUAAGUCCUAUGUUACAUUGUACUCCCCAUCAUGUCCAAAUAAAAUGAAAGAAAAAGAAAAUACGCCAGUGACAAUUUUAUGUUUCCACAGCUACAUUUCAUGACUAUUUUAUAUAUAUUAUAAAUAUUACAAAGUGACUGCUAAUGGUUAACAUUGAUGCAGCCUGAUCAUUAGCCAUGAAUACUGUACUUUAGUACAAGAGCCACGUCCUAUAAAUGACUUUAUGUGUCACGUCACCUGUUAGUUGUGUGCACCUGUGUUAACUAAUAUGAGGAUCUGAUUAUAGAUUAAACUGUUUAAAGUCAGUCUAAUGUAAACACAUUAAUGACUCAAUGAUUAGGAUAAUAUCUGAUUUAUAGACUUUGAUUAAGUAAGUAGCAAGCACGUUAUAUGAAUGAAUAAUUUCUACUUAUCAAUACAGUGUUUACAGCAGGUUGUGGUGUGUUUUUUUUACUGUAGUACAAUAGCUGCACACUUCCUUCAUCAGUGUGAGAAUGAGAGAACAGACAGACGAAUAUGGUCAAGUUGUUUAUUACAUAGUGCUAUGGUCAGAAGGUGAACGGAAGAGGCUUUUCCUGAGAAGACACUUUACACUUCGAUACACUUAUUACCAAUGUCGCGCUCUUCGUCAUGACAGGUAAAUGGUGCUCGGGGCGAGAGAUCUGGAACAGCAGGGACGACGGCUCUGCACCCUUCACCCUUAAGAAGAGCUGUGCUCCAGUGAAGGAUGAAGAUGAGGAGCUGUGGAGGCCCAUGUCGACCAUCUUUCCUUCAAAGUAUCAAGUGCAGAGCUAAACCACGUUGUCCGUCUCCACCCCUGCUGUCCUCACCAACUGGACCUUUGUAGACAAGAAGGAGACGGUUCGUCUUGGACCGCAGCUUUCCACUUCCUGCUCUAUAAACGCCGUGAGCAGAAGGACACGCUAAAGCUUGUGAACAGGAACUACGCUACUCUGUAUUCAACAUUUGAUGUCCCUGUUGUAAUAAAUACAUCUAAUUCACUAA